ensembl:lncRNA
CAGGUCGCGUGUUGGCAAGAACGGAGAUCGGACAUUAAAAAAAAAAACGCCGAGGUCUCACUCCGAAGGGUUUUCCUAAACAGAGAUAGAGGAAACUGCUCGAUCUCUGGUUGGUUUCGGGCUUCUCCUCCCGAGUGAUGCGCUGUCCGGCUCUCUCCUCUCCUUCCUCCUGAUUGGUUAGGAGGACGAGCCGCCGCUCCGGAGGAACCUCCCAGGUUCCAGCGGGCAGAGAGAGAACCCGUCAGAACACAGAGUUCCUUCGCGCAGAUCAGCAUGCAGCAGCUGCAUCCACGGGUAGAGCCAUGCGCAGCAGAACCCUGCGCAGCACAGAGAAGAAACCCGCAGCUCAAACGAAGCUUUACACAACUUUAUUGAAGAUUGUGUAGCAAGAGGCAAGACCCGGCAAACCAGUGUGUACGCGUGGAGUCACACCCCACCACCCCGCGAGAUGUCAGAUCUUGCC